ACGGUGAAGAGGAGCUUGCUCCUCGGAACAGUGGCGGACGGGUGAGUAACACGUGAGCAACCUGGCUCUAAGAGGGGGACAACAGUUGGAAACGACUGCUAAUACCGCAUAACGUAUCGGGAUGGCAUCUUCCUGAUACCAAAGAUUUUAUCGCUUAGAGAUGGGCUCGCGUCUGAUUAGAUAGUUGGCGGGGUAACGGCCCACCAAGUCGACGAUCAGUAGCCGGACUGAGAGGUUGAACGGCCACAUUGGGACUGAGACACGGCCCAGACUCCUACGGGAGGCAGCAGUGGGGGAUAUUGGACAAUGGGGGCAACCCUGAUCCAGCGACGCCGCUUGAGGGAAGAAGGUUUUCGGAUUGUAAACCUCUGUUGACGGAGAAAAAAAUGAUGGUAUCCGUUUAGAAAGCCACGGCUAACUACGUGCCAGCAGCCGCGGUAAUACGUAGGUGGCAAGCGUUGUCCGGAAUUACUGGGUGUAAAGGGAGUGUAGGCGGGAUAGCAAGUCAGAAGUGAAAAUUACGGGCUCAACUCGUAACCUGCUUUUGAAACUGACAUUCUUGAGUGAAGUAGAGGCAAGCGGAAUUCCUAGUGUAGCGGUGAAAUGCGUAGAUAUUAGGAG
rnacentral:rRNA from 1 species